UACGUAGGGUGCAAGCGUUAUCCGGAAUUAUUGGGCGUAAAGAGCUCGUAGGCGGUUUGUCGCGUCUGCUGUGAAAACUGGAGGCUCAACCUCCAGCCUGCAGUGGGUACGGGCAGACUAGAGUGCGGUAGGGGAGAUUGGAAUUCCUGGUGUAGCGGUGGAAUGCGCAGAUAUCAGGAGGAACACCGGCGGCGAAGGCGGCACUCUGGGCCGGUACUGACGCUGAGGAGCGAAAGCGUGGGUAGCAAACAGG
rnacentral:rRNA from 1 species